AACGAACGCUGGCGGCAGGCUUAACACAUGCAAGUCGAACGCCCCGCAAGGGGAGUGGCCGACGGGUGAGUAACGCGUGGGAACAUACCCUUUUCUACGGAAUAGCUCUGGGAAACUGGAAUUAAUACCGUAUACGCCCUACGGGGGAAAGAUUUAUCGGGGAAGGAUUGGCCCGCGUUGGAUUAGCUAGUUGGUGGGGUAAAGGCCUACCAAGGCGACGAUCCAUAGCUGGUCUGAGAGGAUGAUCAGCCACAUCGGGACUGAGACACGGCCCAAACUCCUACGGGAGGCAGCAGUGGGGAAUAUUGGACAAUGGGCGCAAGCCUGAUCCAGCCAUGCCGCGUGAGUGAUGAAGGCCUUAGGGUUGUAAAGCUCUUUCACCGAUGAAGAUAAUGACGGUAGUCGGAGAAGAAGCCCCGGCUAACUUCGUG
rnacentral:rRNA from 1 species